GAUGAACGCUUGCGGCGGGCUUAAUACAUGCAAGUCGAGGGGUAGCAAUACACCGGCGCACGGGUGCGUAACGCGUAUGCAACCUACCUUUAUCUGGGGGAUAGCCCGGGGAAACCCGGAUUAAUACAGCAUAACAAUCUGAUCGGCAUCGGUUGGAUUUAAAAGAUUUAUCGGAUAGAGAUGGGCAUGCGUAAGAUUAGAUAGUUGGCGAGGUAACGGCUCACCAAGUCUACGAUCUCUAGGGGCUCUGAGAGGAGAAUCCCCCACACUGGCACAGAGAUACGAGCCAGACUCCUACGGGAGGCAGCAGUAGGGAAUAUGGUGCAAUGGACGCAAGUCGGACCCAGCCACGACGCGUGGAGGAAGCCGGCCCACUCGGUUGUAAACUGCUUUUGACUGGGAAGAAAAGACUCCUUGCGAGGAGAGUUGACGGUACCAGCAGAAUAAGCCACGGCUAACUACGUGCCAGCAGCCGCGGUAAGAC
rnacentral:rRNA from 1 species